rnacentral:lncRNA from 15 species
AUUUUAUUUGUUGAAUCUCUCUGAUUUUAUUUCAUUUGUUGAAUCUGAUUUUAUUUUAUUUGUUGAAUCUCUCUGAUUUUAUUUUAUUUGUUGAAUCUCUCUGAUUUUAUAUUAUUAUUUGUUGAAUCUCUCUGAUUUUAUUUUAUUUGUUGAAUCUCUCUGAUUUUAUUGUAUUUGUUGAAUCUCUCUGCUUUUAUUUUAUUAUUUGUUGAAUCUCUCUGAUUUUAUUUUAUGUGUUGAAUCUCUCUGAUUUUAUAUUAUUAUUUGUUGAAUCUCUCUGAUUUUAUUUUAUUUGAUGAAUCUCUCUGAUGUUAUUUUAUUUGUUGAAUCUCUCUGAUUUUAUUUUAUUUGUUGAAUCUGAUUUUAUUUUAUUUGUUGAAUCUGAUUUUAUUUUAUUUGUUGAAUCUGAUUUUAUUUUAGUUGUUGAAUCUCUGUGAUUUUAUAUUAUUAUUUGUUGAAUCUCUCUGAUUUUAUUUUAUUUGUUGAAUCUCUCUGAUUUUAUAUUAUUAUUUGUUGAAUCUCUCUGAUUUUAUAUUAUUAUGUGUUGAAUCUGAUUUUAUAUUAUUAUGUGUUGAAUCUCUCUGAUUUUAUUUUAUUUGUUGAAUCUCUCUGAUUUUAUUUUAUUUGUUGAAUCGCUCUGAUUUUAUUUUAUUUGUUGAAUCUGAUUUUAUAUUAUUAUGUGUUGAAUCUGAUUUUAUUUUAUUUGUUGAAUCUCUCUGAUUUUAUAUUAUUAUGUGUUGAAUCUCUCUGAUUUCAUUUUGUUGUGUGUUGAAUCUCUCUGAUUUUAUUUUAUUUGUUGAAUCUGAUUUUAUUUUCUUUGUUGAAUCUCUGUGCUUUUAUUUUGCUGUGUGUUGAAUCUGGUUUUAUUGUGAAAGUCCCGGCAGUGAAGGCUGUGUGCUCCAGCUUGACAUCCGGUUCCAGCUGCAGCUGAGGAGCUGAGAGUGAAGCACAUGCUGAACUGAGGGCAGAGUCAUGGUGGUGAAGAAGAAGACGGCCAGAGUGGAGGCCGUGGUUCUGGAUGAGGACAAACUGCACCAGCUGAUAGCGUCCCUCUCUGUGGGUGGAGGAGAGGAUGGAGUCAGGCAGCUCGCUCAGACCCUGCAGUCCUGUUUGGAGCUGACGGAGCCCGUGCAGCAGAUCCAGCUGGUUCAAAAGCUUCAUUGUUUGAAGAAAUACCAUCAGAAUGAAGAUCUGAAUAUCUUUGGGUUUG